GCGACAGGCAGCCGCACACUGAGAGAUAUAUUUUAGAAUUGUAUUAUUUUUGGGCUUGGUUCGCAGCAUUCGUUUUUGAUUUGUUUUGUUAUUGUACAAGUAUUUUGGUCGUCUUCGGCUUCUGUUCAGUGUUCUUUAGUGUUCUUCAGUGCUGUGCUGUUCUGUUUUGUGCUGUUGUGCUGUGCCAUGUUGUUGCUUUGACCGGCGAUCUCCUUCAACUAAAAGAAAGGAAAUUCUGAGCAUCUGUUUUCGUUGGCCGCCUGUGCGGCAUGGCUGCUGCAUUGGAAUUGGAAGUGCGAUGAUUUUUAAAUAAAUGUUCACUUAUAUUUAUAACCGCGGCCAGGGGCCAAGGGGCAGCGCUUCCCACACACCGAACAUCGAACGCCGAACACCUCAUGGCCCGCAAAAAUAUCCACUGGAUGCUAAAUAUAGCCGGAAAGUUUAAAGUUGAAGCGUUUCCCCAGCCGCCUUUGUGAAAUCCCCCAACUGACGUCAGUGGUUUGGCUACAAAAAGUGCAAUAUUUGAAUAUUCAAUUAAUUUAUGCAUUACCCCAGACAUACACACACACACAGGCGCCCGCAGGAGUAGGUAAUUCAAAAAUUCCAUUGCAUACCCCACAGGCGUCGAGUGCAAAAGCACAGAUAUUUCAGCUCAAGCGCCGGUAUGUAUGCACUUUUUGAGUGAAAGUGUGGGUGCUUGUUCGAGUGUUGGUCUGGGUAUCUGUGUGAGUAGUGGGCACGCACCGCGAAAAUGAAAGAGAACACGCCCCCAGUUGGCAGCCAGUGAGCGAAUCGACCAACCUAGACCAACCCCCGGUUCAAGUUCAAUGCAAUCUGCACCCACUGUCGCCGGCGACCUUGAAGACAUAACCACGCGAAGCGGCGGAAGGGAAAUCUGGCAAACACGCUGGCAGCAAUAAUGAACACGGGUAUCUCCCAGCCAAAAACUCUCAAUUUCCGCACUUCAACUUGGCAAUGUUUGCUUUGUUCAGUGGAGUCCACUUGAGAGCUUUUCAGACUAAAGAAGAUGAUUUUGGAGGGUUGUCAAACAGCAGAAGAACUUCCCAAUGACGUCAGUACAAUAGAGAAGGAAAGCGAGCAGGCUGGAGGGUAAAAUAGAGAUUAGCCCCAAUUCUAAAAUACCCACACUAAAAAUAGUUAUCUCAAGCUAAAUCUUGUUAUCUCCAUUAUCUGCCAGACAGAUGACCGUUAGCUAAAGCAAAAAAGGAGGAAAAUAUUAAUAAUAAUAACUGCGAAAAAGAGAAUUCUUCCUAUUCAUUUAUAACGGUUAGCCCAAUGAAAGCAAUUAAAUCAAAUCGAGCCAAGCCGAGUUCGUUUGGCAAAGAUUUUUCAGCAGAGACAUGACCAUGACGUGGCAAACCGCCACCUCCAUCUCUUUCCAACCCUCUAUCUCCAUCUCUAGCUGUCUCUACGACCUCAUCGAAUUGCUAAUGAUCCCAAGGUAAUACUUCAGCUGCUUUAUUGUUAUUUAUUUAUUUAUUCUUUUUUCGAUUAUAAAUUCAUAACAAAGAAAAAAUUCAUAUGGAGAGAGAGAGAGAACAUUUUGGCAAGACAAAUAUUUAUUUAUUUAAUUUUUGGAUAGUCAAACAAUCGUGUUCGCAGCGCACUAGAAACUUAUUAACUGAAAAGUCUGAGUACAUAGAUGAGUUGUAAUUUUUAUGAUUUGAUCGAGUGCCCCCGACUCCUUAAUGUGUCUCGAGGAAUGCCAGCCACAAAUGUUUUCGCUUUUUACGCAUCAGCACAAAUUAAGUCAUUUUAUUGUUCAUUUACAUUCGCUUAAACUUUGCCUGAUUAAAAAGUUUUGCUUUGUUUUUGCGGCAAUUGAAUUUGCUCGUAGCAGCAAAACUUUGCGUCCCUUAACUUCAAAGAUGUUUG